rnacentral:rRNA from 1 species
AACGAACGCUGGCGGCAGGCUUAACACAUGCAAGUCGAACGCAUCCUUCGGGGUGAGUGGCAGACGGGUGAGUAACGCGUGGGAACGUGCCCUUCAGUUCGGGAUAACCCAGGGAAACUUGGGCUAAUACCGGAUACGUGCGAGAGCAGAAAGAUUUAUCGCUGAAGGAUCGGCCCGCGUCUGAUUAGCUAGUUGGUGGGGUAAUGGCCCACCAAGGCGACGAUCAGUAGCUGGUCUGAGAGGAUGACCAGCCACAUUGGGACUGAGACACGGCCCAAACUCCUACGGGAGGCAGCAGUGGGGAAUAUUGGACAAUGGGCGCAAGCCUGAUCCAGCCAUGCCGCGUGAGUGAUGAAGGCCUUAGGGUUGUAAAGCUCUUUCGUCCGGGACGAUAAUGACGGUACCGGAAGAAGAAGCCCCGGCUAACUUCGUGCCAGCCGCCGCAGUA